rnacentral:rRNA from 1 species
UACGUAGGGUGCAAGCGUUGUCCGGAAUUAUUGGGCGUAAAGAGCUCGUAGGCGGUUUGUCGCGUCUGCUGUGAAAACUCGGGGCUUAACCCCGGGCCUGCAGUGGGUACGGGCAGACUAGAGUGCGGUAGGGGAGACUGGAAUUCCUGGUGUAGCGGUGAAAUGCGUAGAUAUCGGGAGGAACACCAGUGGCGAAGGCGACUACCUGGCCUGUUCUUGACGCUGAGGCGCGAAAGCUAGGGGAGCAAACGGG